UCUUCGGAGGGAGUGGCGCACGGGUGAGUAACGCGUGGGAACCUACCCUUUGGUACGGGACAACGCAGGGAAACUUGCGCUAAUACCGUAUGCGCUCUGGGGAGCGAUCUCUGGAGGAAAGAUUCAUCGCCGAAGGAUGGGCCCGCGUCGGAUUAGGUAGUUGGUGAGGUAACGGCUCACCAAGCCGACGAUCCGUAGCUGGUCUGAGAGGAUGAUCAGCCACACUGGGACUGAGACACGGCCCAGACUCCUACGGGAGGCAGCAGUGGGGAAUAUUGGACAAUGGGCGCAAGCCUGAUCCAGCCAUGCCGCGUGAGUGACGAAGGCCUUCGGG
rnacentral:rRNA from 1 species